UACAACAAUAUUCUCACGCAAUAUUUUUGCACUUUCAUGUUUUUACUAUUCAUUAUUGGGAAAAAUGUUUUGUAGAGAAAGUGUAUGUGGUAAUAUUAUAAAAACGCAAAACUCAUAUCACAGACAUUAACCAAACUCUGAAUACAAAAAAAUAAAUAACACACAGCUAAAAAGAUUUCAUUUUCUGUAAAUUUAGAUUUUUCACUUAAAUUCAAAAAUGCUACGCUACGAGCAAGUUCAUUUUUUACACGGAUUAAUUUUCAAUUAAACUACACACCUUGUUACAUACCUAUAGAGAAUAUUAAUUAAAUUACUACAUGAGUUUUUCACAUGUCAAUAAAAAGGUAAACAAGAAUGUAUUUACAAAAUUUGGAAGAAAAAAAAAUCGAAAUCGGUACUUCAGUUUUCCAUUGUAUGGCAAUAUUCAAUAUUUUGAAUAACGGUACUACUGAUACACUGCAAAAAUAUUAUAAGCUAUUAGAGUUCCCCAAACAAUAGAUGGCAAAAUUUAUAAGAAAUUGAUGAAGCAGCAGCAGUCAGUACUAAAGUGAAAUUUUAAUAAAAUGUUUUGUGAAAUAUCUAAAAAUUAUGGUUAUAAGAAAUAAAUAAAUUUUUAAUAAAAAAAAA